GGAGAGGCCAUAGCUCAGCAUCAGGGCACAUGCUUUAGAUGCAGAAGGUCCCAGGUUCAAUCCCUGGUGUCUCCA